GAUGAACGCUGGCGGCGUGCCUAAUACAUGCAAGUCGAGCGAACAGACGAGGAGUUUGUUCCUCUGUCGUUAGCGGCGGACGGGUGAGUAACACGUGGAUAACCCACCUAUAAGACUGGGAUAACUUCGGGACACCGGAGCUAACACCGGAUAAUAUAUCGAACCGCAUGGUUCAAUAGUGAAAGACGGUUUUGCUGUUAAUUAUACAUCGUUUCGCGCUGCAUUAGCUAGGUGGUAAGGUAACGGCUUACCAAGGCAACGAUGCGUAGCCGAUCUGGGAGAGUGGUCGGCCGCACGAGAGCUGAGACGCGGACAAGGCGACUAAGAGACGCAGCAGUAGCGAAUGUGCCGCAGUAGGCGAGAGCAUUGCGCAGCGGCGGCACGUGAGAUGUGGAGGUCUUCGGAUCGGGAUACUCUGUUAUGAGGGGAGAACAACUGUGUAAGUAGCUAAGCCCGUCUUGACGGUACCUGAACAGAAAGCCACGGCUAACUACGUG
rnacentral:rRNA from 1 species